rnacentral:rRNA from 1 species
AAUCGAACCCGGAGAUAGCUGGUUCUCCUCGAAAUAGCUUUAGGGCUAGCCUCAUGAGAGUCUUAUGGAGGUAGAGCACUGAAUUGCCUAGGGGGCGUCAAAGCUUACCAAAGCAUAUCAAACUCCGAAUGCCAUCAAGAUGAUUCAUGGGAGUCAGACCAUACGAGAUAAGUUGGAUGGUCAAAAGGGAAAGAGCCCAGACCUACAGCUAAGGUCCCAAAGUACGUGUUAAGUGGAAAAGGAUGUGGGGAUUCUAAGACAACUAGGACGUUGGCUUAGAAGCAGCCAUUCAUUGAAAGAGUGCGUAAUAGCUCACUAGUCGAGAGUCCCUGCGCCGAAAAUGUCCGGGGCUGAAACACGACACCGAAGCUUAGGAAUGUGUAAACAUUGGUAGAGGAGCAUUGCUAGCGGGAUGAAGCCAUACCGUAAGGAGUGGUGGACUGCUAGGAAGAGAGAAUGCCGGAAUGAGUAGCGAGAUGAAGGUGAGAAUCCUUCAGGCCGAAUAUCUAAGGUUUCCAGAGUAAAGCUGAUCUGCUCUGGGUAAGUCGGGACCUAAGGCGAGGUCGAAAGACGUAGUCGAUGGAUAACAGGUUGAAAUUCCUGUACCGCAUAUAAACAGAACUGUGGGGACACAGACAGGGAAUGGAAUCCGGGAAUGGAAAUCCCGGUGCAAGCGAGGUAGGAGUGCUGUUGGCAAAUCCGCAGCACGAUCUGAAGACGUGACGCGUACCGAACAUAAGUAGGGAAGUCCAGGCCCCUGGCUGUCAAGAAAAGCCGCUAUCGUUUUAUAUGUGCCCGUACCGCAAACCGACACAGGUGGAUGAGGAGAGAAUCCUAAGGCCGACGGGAGAAGUAUUGUUAAGGAACUCGGCAAAAUGACUCCGUAACUUCGGGAGAAGGAGUGCCAUGAGAGUGGCCGCAGAGAAAUGGCCCAAGCAACUGUUUAGCAAAAACACAGGUCUAUGCAAAACCGCAAGGUGAAGUAUAUGGGCUGACGCCUGCCCGGUGCUGGAAGGUUAAGGGGAGAGGUUAGCGCAAGCGAAGCUUUGAACUUAAGCCCCAGUAAACGGCGGCCGUAACUAUAACGGUCCUAAGGUAGCGAAAUUCCUUGUCGGGUAAGUUCCGACCCGCACGAAAGGCGUAAUGAUUUGGGCACUGUCUCAACGAUACACCCGGUGAAAUUGAAAUACCAGUGAAGAUGCUGGUUACCUGCGCCAGGACGGAAAGACCCCAUGGAGCUUUACUCCAGUUUGAUACUGGGAUUCGGCAUGGUAUGUACAGGAUAGGUGGGAGACUGAGAAGGUAUGACGUCAGUUGUACCGGAGUCGCUGUUGGGAUACCACCCUUACCAUGUUGGAUUUCUAACCUGUGGCCGUAAGCCGGUCAGGGGACAAUGUCAGGCGGGGAGUUUGACUGGGGCGGUCGCCUCCGAAAGGGUAUCGGAGGCGCUCAAAGGUUCCCUCAGAAUGGUUGGAAACCAUUCGAAGAGUGCAAAGGCAGAAGGGAGCUUGACUGUGACACCGACGGGUGGAGCAGGUACGAAAGUAGGACUUAGUGAUCCGGUGGUAUAAAGUGGGAUUGCCAUCGCUCAACGGAUAAAAGCUACCCUGGGGAUAACAGGCUUAUCACUCCCAAGAGUUCACAUCGACGGAGUGGUUUGGCACCUCGAUGUCGGCUCAUCGCAUCCUGGAGCUGUAGCAGGUUCCAAGGGUUGGGCUGUUCGCCCAUUAAAGCGGUACGCGAGCUGGGUUCAGAACGUCGUGAGACAGUUCGGUCCCUAUCCGGCGCAGGCGGAGGAAAUUUGAUAGGAGCUGUCCUUAGUACGAGAGGACCGGGAUGGACGGACCGCUGGUGUAUCUGUUGUACUGCCAAGUGCAUAGCAGAGUAGCCAAGUCUGGAAGGGAUAAACGCUGAAGGCAUCUAAGCGUGAAGCCCCCCUAAAGAUAAGAUUUCCCAUACCGAAAGGUAGUAAGACCCCUUGA